rnacentral:rRNA from 1 species
UACGAAGGGGGCUAGCGUUGUUCGGAAUUACUGGGCGUAAAGGGCGCGUAGGCGGUGCCUCAAGUCAGGCGUGAAAGCCCCGGGCUCAACCUGGGAACCGCGCUUGAGACUGGAGUACUAGAGUUCGGGAGAGGAUAGUGGAAUUCCCAGUGUAGUGGUGAAAUACGUAGAGAUUGGGAAGAACACCAGUGGCGAAGGCGGCUAUCUGGACGGUUUCUGACACUAAGACUCGAAAGCGUGGGGAGCAAACAGG